UUGAAGGCAUUUAUCAAACUAAUGUUACCUUCUGAUCUCCACAAACUUUACUGUUCAGUGAAGAGAAUCAAAGUUUGUUGAGGAUUUCUAAAAAACCCACAGGUGAAGGUCUGAGAAGAACUCAGAUGGAUGGUCUAAAUGUGAAAUCAAGACUCAUGGUCACAAGUUUUAAGGCUUCUGUUAACCAUAAAGUUCAAACUAACAGAGAAGUACUGAGAAACUUUUAAAAUUUCAGUCCUCAGACUGUCUGAAGGUUCAAACUAACAGAGAUCUACUGUGGGACUUAGAAAAUUUCAGCCCUCAGACUGUGUGAAAGCUCAGGUCCUGAGGACUCGGGAGGUGUGGAGGCUUUGGAAAGUCUUGGAACUGAGGGUUCAACCCUCCAGCACAAAGGCUGAAGUCCAACCUCCUGAGAAAAACGGUCGAGAAAAGAGAAAUAAAAAAAAAAACUCGAAAACGACAAAAAAUAGAUGAUAAAUGCGCAAAAAAAAGAAGAAUUAGUAUCUGAGCGAGUAGCUCAGGAGGAUAAGAAGAGGACUACCAAGCGGAGGGUCGCAGGUUCAAGACCUGCCAGUGGCAGUUUUCUUUCUUUGUCUUUGUCACACUUUUGAGAAAAUUUAAGAAGUGUCUGGUCUUGAACCAGCGACCUGCAGCUCCAUAGGCAAAUCCUUAACUCACUGAGCUACAGAUCAGAUGAAAAGAAAUAAAUUCGUCGUCCCUUUGGCAUCGAAGUUCCUGAAGUGACCACAUGGGCGGAGCCAAGGCGGAGUCUGGGUGGAGUCAGGGCGGAGAGUAGGCGGGGAGGUGGGUGGCGGCCUCCCCCCUCUACUCCCCCACCUCCCCCCACCGCCCACCACACCUUCCCCCGCCCGACGAGUUCUUCGAGUCUCCACGAGUCCUUCGAGUCUCCACAGGUUUUCCCGAGUUUCUGGAGUUUCCACCAGGUCGGAGGCAGAACAAGUUGUCAUGAAGAGGUGUUGAAAUCGGC
ensembl:lncRNA